CCUUAUCACUUUGCACGACCAAGACUCUGAAAAACAGAGAGAAAAGAAAACCAAAAACCAUUUCUUGGCUGGUUUGAAGAGAUUCUAAGGAGAUCAAAGUGAAAUCAAAGCCAAAGAAGUAGAUUAAGCUUAGUUCUAGCCUUUUUAUGAUAUUUCUUGGGGUUUCCAAGUGGUUUGAGGUUUAGAAAAGCUUGAAGAGAUUGUUUUCGCCGAAAAGUUGCUCGGAUAAGCACAUCAACACCUAAGACACCACUUGUUACACGGUGAAAUAUAUUUUGGACAGAAGGUAGAGAAAGAAAUGAGUGAAUGACAUAAGGAGAACUGAAGCAUGGUCCUGACCCUGAUUUGUACAUAUGAACACAUUGACAUCUUGUGGGUUAUUUCAGUUUAUCAGUGUGUAUGUUUGUAAUAAAGUGUGGAUUUAUGUUUUGAAAAUAAAUUGGGUUAUUUAAUACUUAUGUAUAAUAUGUUUGAGACACACUUUAUGUUUAUUGUAAAUAAUUUGAAAUAAGU